rnacentral:rRNA from 1 species
GAUGAACGCUGGCGGCGUGCCUAAUACAUGCAAGUCGAGCGAACAGACGAGGAGCUUGCUCCUCUGACGUUAGCGGCGGACGGGUGAGUAACACGUGGAGAACCUACCUAUAAGACUGGGAUAACUUCGGGAAACCGGAGCUAAUACCGGAUAAUAUAUUUAACCGUAUGGUUCAAUAGUGAAAGACGGUUUUGCUGUCACUUAUAGUUGGAUCCGCGCCGCAUUAGCUAGUUGGUAAGGUAACGGCUUACCAAGGCAACGUUGCGUAGCCGACCUGGGAGGGUGAUCGGCCACCCUGGAACGGAGCAACGGCCCAGACUCCUACGGGAGGCAGCAGAGGGGAAUCUUCCGCAAUGGGCGAAGUCCUGACGGAGAAACGCCGCGUGAGUGAUGAAGGUCUUCGGAUCGUAAACCUCUGUUAUUGGGGAGGAACAAAUGUGUAAGUAACAAUGCACGUAUUGACGGUACCUAAUCAGAAAGCCACGGCUAACUACGUG